rnacentral:tRNA from 1 species
AUGGGUCUGUAGCUCAGCUGGUUAGAGCACCGUCUUGAUAAGGCGGGGGUCGUUGGUUCGAGCCCAACUAGACCCACCAAAUCUUCCGAACAUAAGAUGCGAGGAUCAGUGGGGGAUUAGCUCAGCUGGGAGAGCACCUGCUUUGCAAGCAGGGGGUCGUCGGUUCGAUCCCGUCAUCCUCCACCAACCAAUAUGUCCUGCGGUAGGGCAAAGAAACUAACACCAAAGCGGCUUCGCAAGAGGCCUCUUUGUUGUUGGUCCGGUAUAGACCGGGUCAAUCGGCUGUUCUUUAAAAAUUCAUAGAGUCGAAUCAGCGUUGUCGACGGAAAGCAGGAAACUGCACCGUGCCGUCGGCAACAAAAAUUUGAUUGCGUCAAAACGAAUAUUCAAUUGAGCGAAAGCUGAUUGAAGUUCAGUAAUGACGAAUUGUUCUCUAGGUAGCAAUACCGAAGAAGAAUUCACAUUACGGCAUAACGCGCGAGGUGAAAGACCUCGCAAGUCCUUGAAAG